rnacentral:rRNA from 1 species
CCUACGGGAGGCUGCAGUGAGGAAUAUUGGUCAAUGGCCGAGAGGCUGAACCAGCCAAGUCGCGUGAGGGAAGACGGCCCUACGGGUUGUAAACCUCUUUUGUCGGGGAGCAAAGCGAACCACGUGGGGUUCAUUUAGAGUACCCGAAGAAAAAGCAUCGGCUAAACCCGUGCAAGCAGCCGCGGUAAUACGGGGGAUGCGAGCGUUAUCCGGAUUUAGUGGGUUUAAGGGGUGCGCAGGCGGUCUGUUAAGUCGGCGGUCAAAGCCCGGGGCCAAACCCCGGCCCGCCGUUGAAACUGGCAGUCUCGAGUUGGAGAGAAGUAUGCGGAAUGCGCGGUGUAGCGGUGAAAUGCAUAGAUAUCGCGCAGAACUCCGAUUGCGAAGGCAGCAUGCCGGCUCCACACUGACGCUGAGGCACGAAAGCGUGGGUAUCGAACAGGAUUAGAUACCCCAGUAGUC